rnacentral:lncRNA from 1 species
UUGUUUCCAGUGGUGAAUACAUAUUUUUUAUGGUUUGAUCACUGUAAAAUUGUCUUUGUCAUCUGUUGUAGGUGGCCACAUGAAAUCAUUUUGAAAAAGCACUGGUUCAAACUCCUGGUCAUCAGGGUCAGAGGCAUUCGUACCAAGAGUCCCCAAGACCUGGCCCCAGGACUGGCAUGGACUGUUAGGAACCGGGUGUGCAGCAGGAGGUAUCUGUCUAUGUACUGCUGGAGGAAAUAGCAUACGAUUGGAAAGCCUCAUAUUAAUCAAAGUGUUCUUGGGGACUUGGGGACUAUUCACAAAUAAGGGCAAUAAAAAAG